GCCACCACCUGUCCUUCCUCCGCCGUCGCCUCACCACGCUUGCGCGCCGCCUGCCCAAGGCCUCCGACAUUGAGGAGCGGGGCUCAGGGCCACCUGCACGAUCUCCGCGAGUCCCCGCAACGAUCCUGCCACGAGACUGUCACCACAGUGACGGGAAGCCCACCGUGGACAAGGCAAACCAUCCCCCUUAGACAUAGGCCCGUUUGCAUGGCGAUCGAGUACGCACUCCGGAGCCAGACCGUCUGGGUUACCGUCCUGGCCUUGCCCGUCGCCGGUGGCAUAAGCCUGUGCAAGUUCCUAACCUCGCUGAGGAGCAUUUCACUCAUCUGUAAAUGGGGGGUAACGAUGCUGGCCACCGCAUAGGGUUAUACAAGCGACGCUGGCGAAGUGCUGCAGAACCGUGCCCAGGCUGCCGUGAGCGCAUGCCGUUCUCUCUAGCAGCUCCGCGAGGUGGCCAUUCCUGCUCAAGAGGGAACUUAAGCCCAAAGAAAUUCAAUGAUUCAUGCAAGAAGAAGUUAACUGGGCAACAGUCACAGCAGGUGGGUUCUUCCUGCAAAGCUGAUACUUUUCCCACAGAACUUCCAUGCCUGGGUUUCAGAGAUGUGCAGCAACAUGUCCAUAUAACACAGGGGAUGAGAAAUUGUCUAGAACACAGAUCUUUUUUUUUUUUUUUUUUCUCCCCACGGCUGCUGUAGGGGGUCUACCCAGGUAUGACAGUUGCAUCUUAAGGUCAAAACUGUUGAACAGUAAGUUAAUUUGAUUAAAUGGGAUGACUUCAAAGCUCAUUGCUUAGAUCCUGGGGCUAAAUAAAAAUUGAUGCCUCCAAACGCAGGGGUAGUAAGCCACCAGUUAUUUGAAUGGGUGGUACAGGCUGUUCAUUUGUUCAUGAAAUAUGCUUUAAGAUUCUCCAAACACUCAUAAAAUCAACAUAAUCAACAGCUCCCCAAGGCCAAGCUGGUUUGGGCGACCCUCCCUUCUGGUUUGUCUUAUAAAAUGCUUUAUUUACGUGCUACAAGGGCCCCACUUCAAAGUCUCAGUGGUUCCAAUGGUAAUGAGUGAAUAAUCCAGUUGAGCAAGUAAUCAAAGAACAAUAACAAUUGUUCUAACCAUAAAGCCCCCAGUUUGCAAUUACUUAGCAGUUUAAAUUCACUUCAUUUAGAAAAUUUUGCCUCUGAGGCAGGCUGAGACUCUCAUUCAGAGGCCAAUUAGAUUAAAUUAGGAGUGACACGUUAGCUGGGGAGACUUAAUUCAUUUUGGGUUAUUUGUAGCUUUAAUUAUAAUCCAGACACAGCCAGAGCCACAUUUUGGAACAUUUUCUUGCCUCUGUGGGUGCUGGAAGUGAUUGGAUCCCUGGGAGAGAUGUUCCAGGUGGCAUGUGGCCAGCCAAGUGACCGAAGGCUGCUUUGUCAUCAGACUCUGCUCUAGACCUAUUCUCCCAGCUGCUAUUGAAGACUCACAGGAAGUGAGCUUGUCUACAAGAUCUUCCUUUUUAAAAAGUAGCUUUAUUAAAAUAUAAUUAACAAAACAAACACAUUUAAAAUACACAAUUUGAUAAGUUUGACACAUGUAUAUACCUGUUUAAUUAUUCUCACAAUCAAACUAAAUAAACAUAUCCGUUGCUCUCCUAAAUUGCCCCAUAUCCCUUUGUAAUCUCUCCCACCUUGACCCCACACACUCAGGCAAACACUGGUCUGUUUUUUGUCACGAUAAUUUGUAUUUUCCAGGAUUUCACAUAAACAGAAUCAUACGAUAGGUACUCUUGUUCUUUCACACAGCAUGAUUACUUUGACAUUUGCCUAAGUUGUUUCUAGUAUCAAUAAUUGAUCCUUUUUUAUUGUUCCAUAGCAUUCCAUUGAAUUGAUAUACCACAGACUGUCUCUCUAUUCAGAUGUUGAGAAAUGUGGGCUGUUUCCAGGUUGGGGUUGUUACAGACAAAGAUGCUACACAAUUUAUGUGCAUAUGUUUUCAUUUCUCUCAGCAAAAUACAUAGGAAUAGAAUGGCUGUAUCAUAUGAUAGCUAUAUGGUUUCUUUUUCAGAAGCCACCAAACUGUUUUCCAAGCCAUUGUACCAUUUUACAUUGCCAUCAACAUUGUAUGGAAAGUUCCAGUUGAUCUGCAUUCUCACCAGCACUUGCUAUAGUUAAUCAUUUCAAUUUUGCUUCUUCUUUUUUUUUUUCUUUUGAGAGAGAAGGGGGGAGGGGCAAGAAGAGGGAGAGAGAGAGAGAGAGAGAGAGAGAGAGAGAGAGAGAGAGAGAAGCUUAAGCAGGCUUCACGCUCAGCACAGAGCCCGACGCAGGGCUUGAUCCCACAAUCCUGGGGUCACAACCUGAGGCAAAAUCAAGAGUCAGAUGUUCAACUGGCUGAGCCAUCAGGGCGCCCCUCAAUUGUAGUCAUUUUAAUAGUGGUAUCUCAUUGUAAUUUUAACUUGCAUUUCAAUUAUGAUAAUGAUAUUGAAUAUCUAUCUUUUCAUAUGCUUAUUUGUCAACAUGUGUCUUCCUCUCCCAAGUGUCUGCUCAAAUCUCUUGCUCAUUUUUAAAAUUUAGCUGUGUUCUUACUGAAUUUUGAAAGUUCUUUACAUAUUAUGCAUACAAGUGUUUUUAUCAAAUAUACGAUUUGCAAAUAUUUUCUCCCAGACUGUGGUUUGUCUUUCCAUUCUCUUAACAGUAUCUUUUGAAGGGUUGAAGUUUUUAAUUUUGGUGAAGUUCUGUUGACCAAGUUUGGUUUUUUUGUUUGUUUGUUUUGUUUUUUAUGGAUUGUGUUUUGGUGUCCUAUCUAAGAAAAUCUUUGCCUAGCCUAAGCUUGCAAAAUUGUCUCCUAUGUUUUCUUCUACAUGUUUUACAAUUUCAGGUGUGCCUUUAGGCCUACUACAUUUUGAGUUAAUUUUUCUUUUUGGUGCAAGGUACAGAUCCAAGUUGAAAUUUUGGCAUGUGGAAAUCCAGUGGUUUGGUACCUUCCCUUCUCCACUGAACUGCCUUUGCAACUUUGUGAGAAAAAAGUUAUCCGUAUAUAUGUGCAUCUCAUUUCUGGAACAUUCUAUAUUCUGUUCCAUUGAUCUGUUUGUCUGUCUUGUAGCAAUACCAUAUGUUUUGAAUAUUGUAUCAUUAAAAUAAGUCUCGAAGUCAGGUAGUGUUAGUCUUCCAACUUUGUUCUUCUCUUUAAAAGCUGUUUGGGCUGUUCUAGGUCCUUGCAAUUCCAUAUGAAUUUUAGUUUAUCAAUUUCUACAAAAUCCCACAAGAAUUUUUUUUUUUUUUUUUUUUUUUUUGAGAGACAGAGAGAGAGAGAUAGCAUGAACAGGGAAGGGGCAGAGAGAGAGAAGCAGGCUCCAGGCUCUGAGCUGUCAGCACAGAGCCUGAUGUGGGGCUUGAACCCAUGAACCAUGAGGUCAUGACCUGAGCUGAAGUUGGAUGCUUAACCAACUGAGCCACCCAGGCACCCCACAAGAUCCCCCAAGAAUUUUGAUUGACAUGUUGACCCACAAUUACAGCAGCAUGUGUCUUGAUUUAUCUAGCUAUUCUUUCAUUUCUGUCGGCAGUGUUUUGUAGUUUUCAGGUUACCUGAUUUGUUCAUCUUGUCAUAUUUAGUCCUAUUUUAUAAUUUGAUGUUAUAAUAAAUAGCAUGUUUUUUUUGUUUUAAUUCAACCUCUGAUAGUUCAUUGCUAGUAUAUGUAGAGGGAAAAACUGAUAUAAUGUUGUGUCUGACCACCUGUUGUUUUGUCCAGCCUUUUCCAGGUAUUUCCAGGUAUAUUCCCCGUUAUUCCCUGUUAUUCCCUGUUGGCUCAGAAGUCCUCUUUGAAAGUUCCUAAUUAGAAUUUGGAUUCCUUUCUUCUUUUACAUGGCUGUAUCCCUUUCCAUUCCUAGCACCUGACUGCCUUUUUAUUAUAUCAUAAUUAUUAUCAUUACCAUUAUGAUUAUUAAGCUUCAAACUGCAUUGUAAUUUCUCAUUUGCUAUAAUUACACCCCAGAACCAGAACAGAUGUCAGGCAGUUGAGAAGGAACUUUUGCACCAGGGUAAAGGCUUGAUUCUCCAUUGUUUUAAAUCUCCUGUUACUGAAAAUUCCCAUAGGGUAGUUUUCCUCAAAUUCUGGUGUGCAUCACCAAUCAUCAAAGGAGCAUAUUUUUAAAAUAUAGAUUCCCAGCAGAACUUCUGCCCCAUCCAAGGAAGCUGAAUCCAGGAAAUCUGUAUUUUUAAGCCACUACACAGGAGAAUCUGUUAUAUACCAAAGUGUAGGUACCUCUGUUACAGCCAAGUCUUGUGAACCACCCGGUUCAGCCACUUGGAAAACCACUAAGCUGUAAAACUUGUCUCCUCGGUGUUCCUAUUCUUCAUUUUUUCUCUACUCAGGCUCUUUGGUUUCUCAGUUCUCUCUCUAGCAAAGCAGACUUCGGCAAAUUAUUUUCAAGCGUUGUUCUAUGGAUAUCAUAUUGGCAUGCUUUCUCACCCUUGCUUCCGAGAGAAGUUACACAGUCAACAGCCCCUCCUGCCUAGGAGGCCCUGUGACCUGGCCUCAGCCCAGUCCCCCACCAGCCACAGCUUACUGGUUCAGGGUAAAGUAAACUGGAAGAGUGGCUGGCGCUAGUCUCCUGCAAGGGCAGUGUCUAAGCUGGGCCGGAGCAAUUCCUGCAUUCCCUGCCCAAAUGUCCAGAAUGGGUAAAUCCAUAGAGACAGAAAUCAGAUGGUGGUUGCUGGGGGCUGUGGGGAGAGGGGUGGGGUGUGGCUGCUUAGGGUUAUGGGGUCUCUUUGGGGGCAAUGACAAUGUUUUGGAACUAGAUGGAGGUGAUGGUCACACAACAUUAUGAUUGUACUAAACGCCACUGAAUCGUUUACUUUUGAAUAGUGAAUUUCCACCAAAGAACAAAAGUCUGAGCAGUGGGUGCUGGCGUGGUGAUGUGAGCACCCCAAAGCUUCCAGAGGUCAUGUUCCUCAGGAGAUCCUAGAGGAUUCACCUUCUGUGUCAGGGAUGGUGAGGGACACCAGGAUCACUGAGAAGUUCUAUGUGAUCACCUCUGCAGGCAGGGCCGAGGGUAGGAGAGAAGGUCAUGGAACUUGGCUCUCUUAGAGCAGUGGGGCUUGCACCUUAGACUGGAAGCAGGAGGUCAAAUGGCAGGGCCCCAGGUAGAUGGGAAAGGGAAAUUCUGUCUCUGUGCCUUCUUUUCCUUGGCCCAGAUUUUGAAGAGUUAGGCUAGUUAACAACAUCCCUGAAUGAUAAGGAAAAUGGUUCCAGCCAUGUGGGGGCAGGCCAGCAGCCAGGUCCAGAGGCUUCCCUGUGAGGCAGUAGGUCCCAAAUGUGGCUGUGUAUCAGAAUCUACUGGAAGCUUCAAAAUAUUAUACCUACCCCAGGGCUUCACUCCCAGAAAAGUUUCAUUUCAGAAGGUGGAGGAGAGGAAGGGCAGGUGGGAAUCAUAUUUUCAAACAUCAAUCCAGGGGAAUUUAAGGCAUAUUCCCUAGAAGAGAGCAACUGCUAGGAACCCUCGGGUGCCACUGAAGAUGAGUAAAACACAGACCAGCAUGAACAGAGUCCUGGGUGGUGGAGAGCAAUGCAGAGCCACAGUAAAGGGUUUAGAUUUUAUCCCAUUUGCAAAAGAAGACAUUGGAGCAUUACAACUGGGAAAUGAUAGGAUCUGACUCACACUUCAAAAAUUAUUAUCUCAGAGCAAUUAAAAUACCAUGAUACUAAAGGGUUGAUCUUAUCCACUUGUAGAAGAAAGGCAAAUUGUAAGCUUUUAGGGUGAUGCAGGGUAACUUCCCUUCAUAUCUCCACUGUCUGCCGAGUUUUAUCUAAAGCAAGUGUGAGUUGGUAAUUCUAACAUUUUACCAAGGAAUUCGAAAAAUAUUGGCUUGGCAAAGACCUCAAGAGAACAUGUGGUCCAACCUGCAGACUUCCAGGUAGGUCCAGGCAUAAAUCAUCUCAGAGAGAUAAAUACCCAAAUCACAUGCCAAUGCUGAUCCUGAGAACCAGCUUCCCAUCUUCUCUGGUCUGACUAGGACACUCAUCACCACUGAUUAGAGGUUUGAAAAUGUUCUCCUUGUUCUAAAGAAAUUAAACAACAAGAAAAACAGGAAACUAAAAAAAAUGUGGGAUACCUUUAGAUGCUCAGAAUCUGGUUUCUUCAUAUCCCCCUCAGACCACUGCAAUCUACCAUUUGACUUUUUCCAUUGAAUGCAUUGAUUCAAUUCACAUCCAGUCCUCAAAUGUUGGUGGAGCACCCAGUAACUGCAUGGUCCUCGGAGGACACAGGGUGGUCACUGACACCUAAGGUCCUAAAAAAGGCAAAUUCGACCUCUUCAAAAUCACAUGAAAAGUGAUAUUUAUAAGCAUGGACACAUGAUCUCUGUAUGUUAGUAUGUGAAAAUAGUAAUGCAAAUGUAAACAAUAUUGUAAAUUUUAAAAAAGAGGGAAAGACUGGAAUAAUUUUCUUUUUAAUAUUUAUUUGUUUUUGAGAGAGAGAGAGCACGAGCUGGGGAGGGGCAGAGAGAGGGGGACAGAGGAUCCCAAGUGGGCUCCAUCACUGACAGCAGCGAGCCUGAUGCAGGGCUCGAACUCUCAAGCCAUGAGAUCAUGACCUGAGCCGAAGACGGCCGCUCAACCGACUGAGCCACCCAGGUGCCCCUAGAAUAAUUUUCAAGUUACAAGCUUAAAAGGAAAACAAUAAUAAAAUGUAUGACUGUAUGCGCAGCAUUCUUCAGCUUGUGUUUUAAAAGCUGUAUAUAAGUGAUUGGAAAAUCAUAUCACAAGACUUCUUGUUUAAAUCACUUGCUAUUAUAAGAAAAGGCAACAUAAUAAAGAGCAAAACAAAACAAAAAAAUAAAAUAAGGCUGCUUGUGGUACGGCAGGAGGCAAAAAGAAACACUGGAAAAAAUAUGCCAAGAUCCAUAUCAUCCUGAUGUUCUCCGUUGUUUUCAGAUACCCUCCCAGCAGUUUUGCUGUCUCAGGCACAUAUCGACACACGCCGGUAAUGGGAGCAUAUUAGAGCAGCAGUACUCUGAGGAAUCCGUCCGGCUUUUAAAUGUGGUUCCAUUAUGGCAUUACACGGCGCCUCCGAGUCCCAUGGCCACGUACAGAGGAUAGGAGACGUGACCCAAGGAACUCGGGCAAAAUGACAAAGGAGACCAGUCAGGCUCUGUGGCAGCAGAUAACAUUUUCUUCUUCCAACAAACCACAGAGCCUUUUAAAAAACAAAUAGAAUAAUGAUGUGGGCGAGAAGUACCCCUCCCUGGGAUCAGCAGAUGGAGAGGAAGAAAGUAGAAAGCAGGUGAAUUGCCAAAAAAAAGGCAGGAAAGUGAAAAACAUUAAAAUUUCAGAGUUAAUUAUAUACCACUGCUCAAGAAAUGAGAGAUAAGAAGCCAGAAAAAUACUAAUUUAGUGAAGGUUGAACAAACAAUUCUUCUCCCAGAGGCAAAGAAAGGAAGGCGCAAGUAUUUCUAAACUCUGGCGAUUAUACAGAUGGCAGAAAGAAUAAAGACGAAAUUUCAUUGACGACGCAAGCCCACAUAAUAAGGGAGAGUAUUAGGAAGACAACAGCAGUCUGAAGUGUUUACAGUGUUGAGUGCAGCAACAGCUCAGCAAGCACGUAGAACGCAUUAUCUGAGUUGUGAAAAAUUACCCUCAGAAAUCAUGGAAAUUAAUCCAGAAGUUAAACAUUUAUUAAAAACAAGAUUAGAGAUUACAGGAGAAAGGUCGAGUCUGAAGGGUCAACGAGAGCUGCAUUAGCUGGUUUCUGCACCGCCCGCCAAGUGGGUUGUGUUUGAUUGGGAGCGCAAGGUCCAGAUGGAAGUGGAGCUUCUGGGGGCCCCAUCCUCUCGGGGGGCCACCAGUCUGCGCACGGGGAAAUCACCAUUGGUGUCAGCCGUUCUUGCAAAAAGCGGAUGAUGCAACGAGGACCCCUGACCCCUGAUCCCUCCGUGACGUUCGUAACCUGGGAAGGGAAGUCAGCCUCUGGGUGUGAUUAACUGCGUGGCUUGAGUACUGGACAACAUUCAAAAUUGAACCCAGCCCCUUCCAGCACUCGGCUGCCAAGGUAUUGACUCCAAUGCCCAGGUGAAUGAAGCACUUUGCUGUGGGUGGCAGAGUUUUGCCUCCCAUCCUUUUUUGUCAAAAGCGUCAAGCAAACAGGAAAGAUCAUUUGAAUAGACAAGGGAGCGUCUGUCUGAUGUGUUUCUUAGCACAGCACUGGAAACGAGGGAUGUUGCAGGAAUGUGCACAGAGCCAUUCUGUGGGUGCAGGUGAAGAAGAGGUUUUCUUGAUGACUAAUGAGUUUGUACCAUACACCCCUCUGCGUGUGAGUUCUUUCCACGCCAAGAGUGAGAUUCACCUAGUGUCAGGUCCUCUUGAAACUCUGCAAAAAUGUGAAUGGCCCAGAAUCCUCAGGUAGUCAAGAGAGAAACAAAAAGGAAAAUUUCCUGUCCUUCUACUUUGGUCUAAUUUAUUUUCUUGUGGGUAUGCAUUACCGGCUCCUUCCCCCUAGAACUCCAUGAAUUUGGACAUAUAUAAAAAUUUUACAUGACCCAAAUUUUCAUCAGGAAAAGAAAUAAGAUUCAAAAGAAAAAAAAAAUCCAUCCUCUUAACACCCUUUAGUUACAUUAGAAUUUGCAGCCCACAGCCUGAACUUCUCAAAACUCCGUGAAACCCUAUUCUCUCCAACAGGUGCUAUUUUGGGAGACAAAGUUGGAAUGGUUAUGAACUUGGGAGUCAAAAAGGUCUAGGUUUUCAAAUGCUAGAUUUGUCAGUUACCAGUUGUGUGACCAUGAAGGUGUUCAAUCUCAGUGUCAUCAGUUGUAAAAUGGGAACAAUAACAUCUACCCUAUGGAAACAUCCAAUGCAUGAGAUAAAAGGCGUUUUAGCACAGUGACUGGAGCAUAGGAAGAUGUCAGUAAAUAGCAGUCAUUGUUGCUCUUACUAUUAUCAUUAUUAUUAAAAUAAGCUAGAAUUUUGGAAUAAAUUUUUUCUCUAAAUGAUUAACUUCAAACCAUUACAUGGACUUUAAUACAAACCACUUUCUGGGCCAAAUGUGCCAUAUGAAUAAAUGCAUGCUAUACUGUGACAAAGCAAGAAAGUACUCAGCAUUAGAAAUAUCUCAUGGUGCACCUGGGUGGCUCAGUCAGUUGACCGUCCCACCGGCUCAGGUCAUGAUCUUGCAGUAUGUGAGUUCGAGCCCCAUGUCAGGCUCUGUGCUGACAGCUCAGACCCUGGAGCCUGCUUCGGAUUCGGUGUCUCCCUCUCCCUCUGCCUUGCCUCUGCCUGUGCUCUCUUUCUCUCAGAAAUAAAUAAACAUUUAAAAAAAAAUAGAAAUAUCUCAUACAAAUAUUAAGAAGAAAAAAAUUAAAUGUUCUAUCCUCCAGUAACUCUUCUUGAGUCAGGUGUGUUUGUUCUUUCGCCAGGCACCCUAAUUUCAAACUGAAUGAAACAUCUGGUAUUUCUCCUGAUGCCUAAAGUUUUGAGAUGUGACAAUGUUUGUAUUCCAGUAUCCUACAGUUCCAGGAAGUUCAGCUCAUGAGAAUGUUGUAUAAUUGUGUUCAUCUGACCAAAGAACAGAAAUGAGACUCAGAAACCACCAAAGAGCUAGACGGCACAACCCGGAAGUAAUGGGCAUUUGGACGUCUAGGGAUGACCACUGAGAUGCAAGAGACAAGAUGGAGUUGGGAAGUGGGUCUGAGCAGGGAUGUCCAAACACUUAAGAUCCAGAUGGUGAAAUUCCAUCCAGAUAUGAGGAGACAGUCACUAAAGGCCUGGAGACAAAUAGCAGCUACUGGCCAAUGGAAAAGUUCUCUACUCCAUGACCUUGAGCACUGGGAAAGCAGGAAGGUUUUGCUGAUGUUGCAGGCUGUCUAUUAUCAUGGUGUUUCUCAAUUUUUUUUUUUUGCCUACAUUUUUUGGUAAGAAAUAUAUAUGUAUGUAAUAUAUAACUAUAUAUAUAAUGGAAACAGAAAUUUCCUAAAUCAAUAUUUUCCCCUCCCCUUUGAAAUAUGCUUAUUUUCUCUCAUUUUCUAUUCUGCUCUAUUCUAUUUCAUUUCUAAAAUGUCGCUCAGAUGGAAAACAAAUCUGUGGUUUCCAACAGUAUGUCUGGCAGGAAGAGACAGUGACUAUAAAAAGGUAAUUUUGCCUUUCGUGGUGAGGGAGAGUUUUGUACCUUGAUUAUGGUGGCAGUGAUCAUACACAUAUAUAUAUAUGACAGAAUUGCACACACACAUAAAGGUGUGCUCGUAAUAAUGGGAAAUCUGAGUAAGGCCACUAGUCUGUAGUAGGUAAAUGUACUGGGCCAGUGUCAGUUUCCUGGUUUUGAUAAGGUGCUAUAGUCAGCUAAGAUGUCUAUUGGGUGAAGCUGGGCGAUGGGUAGACGGGACCCCUCUGAACUACUUUUGCAACUUCUUGCGCAUGUCUAUUUCAAAACAAAAAUGUUUUGAAUAUUACUAAAGACCCAUUAAAUUACUCAAGGUCACAAUCCGUAGUUUAAAAAUGAAACCCUGGUUCACCAAGAGUGGAUGUUGGAUCAGCAGUAACUGUGCCUACAUAAACUGAUUUGUCUGAAGAGAUACAUCGGCCUGUGCAGACCUGUAUUUGAACUGGCUGGGACUCCACAACCUUAAGUCUCACUAGCCCCCACCUCAACCCCUGCCAGUGGACUGGGAAGCUAGGGGUUGCACAGAGUAGACAGACUUUUAUUUCAUUUUCUUUGUGUGUCAUCCUCUAAAUGUCCCUACCCUAUCCCUCCCCCAUUUUUUUUUUAGACACUUGAUCCUGGGGCACCUGGGUGGCUCAGUCGGUUAAGAGUCAGACUUUGGCUCAGGUCAUGAUCUGACAGUUCCUGGAACCCUGCAAUAGGCUCUGUGCUGACAGCUCAGAGCCUGGAAACUUCUUCGGCUUCUGUGUCUCCCUCUCUCUCUGCCCCUGCCUCGCUCAUACUCUUUCUUCCUCUCGCUCAGAAAUAAAAAAUAAAAAAGUUAAAA